UGUUCUUAUCUACAUAUUGAGUUGGGUGUUCAUUAAGCAUAAAUAAGGAAGUUUGUUCUAGUAGUGUAAUUUACACAAACACACACACACACACACACACUUGUAGGCCUAUAUGUUACGCAAUGGGUAGGAUUAGGGUUGUGGGGUAGAUGUGUAUCAUAUGUACACGAAAACUGCGUAUUAUACACAGGCAAAAGUCAAUUUUUGUUUUCAAUACCACAAGUUGUUGUUUUUAUUUGGCGUAGCCUACUAUUUAUAUGCAUUUUCACGAGACCGGGCUCUUUUAAUUGGUGCCUUUUGAAGUAAACAAACACUUUGUAUAAAGGUUUGAGCACUCUAGCUCAAAAAUUCAGCAACUACAAAAUUGCUUCCUAUAGCACGCUUCUGUCAGCAAAUUAAGAGCCAGAAUGGAGAUGUACACGCUAUAUACUGCAUACAUAUAGUAAUCGUAAACAUGCGAUAUAAGGCCAUAUGAUGGCAGUCCCACCGUCAGCAGCCUUGCAGCCAUCGUGACGUCACGAGGGCGUUCCCUCCCUGUGAGCCAGGUGCGUCUCACCUGAGCUCGGCAGUUCUUCCGCUAGCGACGGGAGCUGCAGCAUCCUCAUCCUCCUUCUGAAGAUGACGGCGCUGAGGUACAUCGGCAGCUGCCUGCCGUUAUUCGUCAUGGCGAUCGUCUUCGACAUCCUCGGUGUGGUCCUGCUGUUCGUCGGGAUAUUCGGUAACGUGCGGAUGCACGGCGUGUUUUACGGGGAUUUCCUCAUCCACACCGGCGCGCUGGUCUUGUUCGCCAGCCUGGCCUUGUGGCUCAUGUGGUACGUGGGGAACAUCAGGGUGAAGGACGAAGGUUUGGCGCGCAGAUCGAGUGCCGCGCACAGCGUCAAAAAGCUCGCGAGGAAACUCACGGAGAGACUGUCCAAAACACACCUGAAGGACAACACCGGUGAGAAAACAGGAAGCAAAGCUUCCACCAUUCGAAACGUAACAUGGGGAAAAUCCACCUAUUUCCCAGGACACAAAGAUCCUGAAUCGGAUUUGAUCAAAUGUGAUGAACUAUCCAAAGAAAAGUCUGCUGAUGAUCAGUUCAUGUGCUACCAGAAUCAAGGCUACGAGGACGAGGAGUCAUGCAAACCGAUUCAGGAGACAGAUGACCAGACCCGGUCAGAAGACGGUUCUGAAUCAGAUGUGAGCAAGUGCAACGAAGAGUCUCAGGAGAAGAAGGAAGGGCAUGAAGAAUCAGAAUCAGACGUGACCAAAGAUGCUGAUAAAGCUCAGGAGGAGAAGCCAGUUGAUCAGCCAGAGAGCAUUGAUGUUCUGCUGUGAGAAGAG
ensembl:lncRNA